rnacentral:lncRNA from 1 species
GGGAUGCUGGUAAAGUGGAGAAUUAGUCAAGUAAAGACACGUGAGGUGUGGAAUUAUGCAAUUUCUCAUUCUUGGGCGGGGUGUGUACCUUGGCUCUUACACUGCAGAGUUCACAACUCAAGAGUAGAGCUCCUGAUAUCAGAUUUUUACAAAACGAUUGUCAGAUUUCCUUGGUUUCUAUGCCUUUCGUCAGUGAGGUGUCAAUGGCUACCUAUGCUCUGGUUACUAUGGUUGCAUAACAGUUACCCACUCCCCGUCCGCCAACCCUAAAAAAGCCAUGUAUUAAGCUCAUAGAUUCUGUGGGGCAGGAAGUUGAUCUGGGCAGAGGAAUUCCAUGGAGCUGGCUUGUCUCUGCCCCACAGUGUCUGGGACCUCAGCUGUAAGCCCUGAAUACCGCGGGCUAGAAUCUUCUGAAGGUUUGCCCAUUCACAUGUCUGGUGGUAGAUGCUGGCUGUUGACCGAGGGCAUCGGCCCCUCCCCAUGUGGCCUCCGCGCUUGGACUGGUUUGGACUUCAUCGCUGCAUGGUGGCUGGAUUCCGAAAAUGUUGACACUGCCAUCUUUUCUAACUUCCGCUGCUUCUCCAGGCGGCCAUGGCCAUCUCAUUAGACAGCAGAUGUAAAGUAUUUGGAAAAAGGCAUCAUGCAAAGGUAAAGUUCAUUGUCAUUCAUCGUUUUCCUUCCCAAAUAACUAGACUUCUUAAAAACAGUAAAGCAAAAUGAAGCUGAGCUGUUUGCUUGUCUACCCUGACA